AUUACUAUUAAAAUUUUUCCUUCCCCCCAAUUUUGACAAGACAAAAGGAAUACCCGCUGAAUAUUUUGCCCAAUUCCAAAACUAAAAUAUUUCACCUUUUCCGAAAUUUCCUCCGCUCCUUCACCGCUCCUUCACCUCCACCGCGACCCAAAUUCCUCUAAUGGACUGUAUCAACUCCAAAUAUAGAUCCUAUUUAGGGAUCCACUUGUCCUAAUUUUAAAUAAUUUCCUCCACUAGAGAACUUGCUCUGCUCAGGCGAACUCAUUCGGUGAAAUCGAGUUGUAACUUGUAGAUUUGUUUCCUCAUCACUCGUUGUAUUUAUUAAUAGCAUCAAAAUUUUACCAUCCCGACAUUUUCUAAUCACUAAUUUUGUUCAUUGGUUUGCUGUUUGUGACUAGAAUGUAAUAUUGGUCAACUUGUUCAGUGCUAGCCGCCGUGACUUCCUCAUUCAUCACGAUUUGUUUCUAGAUUGCGAAGGUGAAGAAGAAGGUAGUAGUUGCUCAGCGACCCCAAGAGGCACAAGAUACUUCAACUUCUUUCUGUUUUGUGGGUGUUUUUAAGUUCUGGUAAAACAAAAACUCUACCUAUAUAAGUAGUGUUGUCUAGUUUCAAAUUCCUAUAUUACUUGCAUUCACAAAGUCUCAGAGCUGCAUUUAUUUUAUUCACGUCUUGCAUUUGUAAACUUGUACAAAUAGAAUGAAUGAACAAGAUAUUUAUCUAUUAGUCGAUCAUAUUUACUUUGAAGAAAUGCAUAAUAACAGUGUAAAAGUGACAUUAGAAGCUUUGUUUUAGAUAAUAUGACAAGAUCAUUCAGCUAAAGUUAAUGGGGGUGCACUAAUUACAAUUGAUGUCUCUCUUAUAUCCUAAUAUUUUCUGACGUUCUUUCCUCAUUUGGUGUUUGUUCUUGAGCGACAUGCUUAAUGUGAAGAAAGCAAUUUUUAUUGCUACUCAGUAAUCUUGCGAUGAGAAGAUUUAUCUUCUUUUUUUUCCAAAGACAAUGUGUGUGAGCACAUAUUAGUUUGGUUUAGAUUGGAGCUAUCUCCUUUUUUAUUUUGCUUGGUAUAGAAUCACACUUUCUAUUACAUGGAAGUCCUUACUGUCUUUAAAUUUUAUUAGCAACUUCCUUUCAUGAACACAUAGAUAAUUUAACUAUCUAUUGCAUCUCUGUAAUGACAACAAGCUUGUUUCGAUGUGAUAUGAAUAAGGUUAGACUUCCUUGUGCCUUCUUAUCUCUCUUAAUUUUUCAUAUCCAAGGUUUUAACAUAAAAUGAAAAGGCAAUAUUGAGGUGCUUUCUUGAACUUUGCAAGGUAAUAACAUUAAUCUGUUUCUAUUUUCUUGCUAUGGCAUGCUUAGUUUCUUUGUUAAGUCUUUUACUGAUAGCACUUUUCUUAUUCCUGGAAGUAUUAGUAUCUGCUAGUUUUUUUGAUCUGUCAAACUGAUCCAAGUUUCAGUUAUGAUGCAUAAUAGAAUAAAGCCUUGAUGAGCUAUCAAUGAGUUUCUUUUCUUCCUAAUUUUUCAGAUAUUUUGAAAUGAGUUUUUUCCUGGUAACCCCAAAAAUUAUGAAGUGAAAGAGGAUGUCAAGUGAAUAAAGUUAUUCACUUCCCAAUAAGUAUAUCUUUUUCACUCACUUUCAAUUACACAAAAUAUUUUAAAUGCCCUCACUGUCCUUUAUUUAGCUCAACUUUUAUGUGAAUAGAGAUCUUACAUGAUUAUCUUUGCUAUGAUAGGUAGUUAAAUUGUAGUGACUAAUGUUUUUUUAGGUUAAAAUUGAGUUAGAAAAUUAUCUGAUGGAUGUUUUUAAGUAUUGUCUCUGUACAAAUCGGAGGGUUAGUGGAAUAGAAGUUUGCGCUUUUAAUUUCUUGCUAGAUUCAAUGGUAGCUAAGUGACUGUAGUCACCUAAAGAGGUAUUCACUAGUAGAUUACAUUUCGAGCUUAGAAACUAUUAAUCAGAUAGCAGACUGGAAAUUCCAAAUUCUAUCUAGCAACAUUCUUCGCUUGGGUAAGGUGUUUGUAUUUGGUUAUUCCUAGCAUAAUUGAAAGUGAUCUGAUUGAUUAUAUGCUAUGUGCUAAAGUUAAAUUUCCGUUAAAAAAGAAGUUCACUAACCUAAUUUGUCCAUCAGUAUACAACAAUUUAAUGUAAGGAAGAAACAAAGUCAUACUAGUCUAGUAAUUGAAGAAUUUCAAUAUAUUCUGGCAAUAGAAAGGAUAUAUAAAUAUUUGGUAGAAAAAGAAUUUCUAAUAAGUUGGUUUUCCAAUGAAGUAGCCUAUUCAACCCUAGAGAGAAUAUAACAAGAUGUCUGGAUGCUAAGAAAACAAAUAAAGAAGGCAAAUAUAGCAUGAUUUUUGUUCAUAGGUUCUGUUACUCAAAUCAUUCUAACACAAUUAUAUUUUCAUCUCAAAACUCUAACAUAUACAGAGUUUCCUCUACUUUUGUCAUUUAUUUUAGUUGUGUAUAUGUAUAACUCAUACUUAUAUGAUAGUAUUAUUCAUAGUCCCCAAGGGGCAGACUCUACCACAUUGCUCUGAGUUUACACUUGCAUACUGUUGAUUUCUAUCUAAUUACAAAUUUUAUUUUGCAGGAAAAUUCUGAUGAGCAAUUAAAAAUGGUGCCAAAAGACAAUUUGAUAUAUUGGAAUUUAGUGAUGAAAAAUUGGACAAUUACGAUUUUUUUUUUAUUCCUGAUGCUACAAUAAUAUACUUGAUUUUGCAAAGUUACAAGCAUGAACCUUGAAAUAAUUUACUUUAUUCGUAUGUAUUACAUGAGAUUUGAUCUUUUUUGAA